UCUCUCUCACAGAGACUCACCCUUGCCCUCUCCCAUAUCUAUCUCUCUCUCUUAUUCUUCUCUUUCUCCCAUACUCACUUCCUCAAUAAUCUCUUCUUCUUCAUCCUCUGACUCCGUCCCAGCCCAUCCCUCCUCGCUCCUUCCGCUGCGUAGCAUCGCCUCCACCGCCUCGCCGCUGUCGGCCUCUUGUGGAAGAAGCUCCAUCUACACGACUGGGUCGUCGCAACAGCCUUUCUCUCCUCUUCCUGUCGUCAACGCCACCUCUGUUAGAGGCAUGGCUCCACAUUGGAAUAAAAGAACUUUUCAAUUUGACAAGUUUUUUAUUUCUAUUUAUUGACAUCGUCUCCCACAUAAUAUUAAAUGAAGAAUUGCAAUACAGAAUGUUUCUUGUGGCUUAGAUGGUGUUUAUGUGUUGAGAUAAUAUGGAAUGUGAAACCUAAACAGUGAUAGAGAAUCAUCCUGAUUGUUGAGGCGAAGGAGCGGCAGCAGUGCAACAAGCUCUAAUGGAGAAAUUCUUUUAUUUUCUUAACUUUUGAGAAAAGCAGCUAGAAUCCACCAACAUAAGGCAGAAAAUUGUCUAGAAUAGUUUCUCUUCAUAGAUAUAAAUUGAUGCUGCAACGAUGUGCUUCCAAGAUGUACGCGGCAUGCACAAAGCUGAGCUCAAAAAGGUCUUUCAUUGUCCAGAUUCUGCGGUGUAAACAUCUUAAAUAGAAUACUCUCGAGAAACAGUUGCGCCCCCCAAUGGGUCGAAUUGAAGAUAGCAAUCCGUGGCAGGAGAUAUCACGGAGUGGAGGUCGAUCUUCAAGUGAGCUUGGAUGAGGAGGUCAUGCAAUGAGGAUCCAAAUGGCGCGAGCACUUUGAAGCUCUCAAGGCACAAAUGCGCGAAAUAAAUGAUAAGAUGUGACACUUUACCGAAUUAAUUAUAAGUUUUAUUUUGAUAUAUAAGCUAUUGUUCUUGCUGGAUAUCUGGAACUGGGAAUGGAAUUUAGGAAGCCGUCCAAAUGGCGCGAGGACUCUGAAGCUUUCAAGGCACAAAUGCGUGAAAUAAACGAUAAGAAGUGACACUUUACAAAUUAAUUAUAAGUUUUAUAUUGAUAUAUAAGCUAUUGUUCUUGCUAGAUAUCUGGAACUGGGAAUGGAAUUCAGGUGGCUGUCCAAAUGGCGCGAGGACUCUGAAGCUCUCAAGGCACAAAUGCGCAAAAUAAACGAUAAGAUGUGACACUUUACCAAAUUAAUCAUCCGUUUUAUAUAGAUAUAUAAGCUAUUGUUCUUGCUAGAUAUCUGGAAUUGGGAAUGGAUGGCUUCUUGAUUUUUUGUCGUACGGCUCCCUCCUUGCUUGCUUCCUCUUUAAUUGUGCAUUCUCAUAUGAAGGCCCUAAUGGUUAUAAAUACUGCUUUUGUGCUAAGUCUGAUUAAACCAAGAGAAUCAAAUAUUAUCAGAUGCUAACUCUAUGCUUAUUGGAUUGCCCCGUGCCAAAGUAAUCCGCAAAUUAGCAGAGGAAGUCUUCUCAAUCGUUGGACGAGAUCCUUUAAUUGAGGUAGCUAUUGCAUUGGAAAAAGCUGCACUAUCUGAUGAGUAUUUUAUUAAGAGGAAGCUUUAUCCCAAUGUGGACUUCUAUUCAGGCCUAAUUUACAGGGCAAUGGGCUUCCCUACAGAAUUCUUUCCUGUUCUGUUUGCCAUCCCUAGAAUGGCUGGAUACUUAGCUCAUUAGCGAGAAUCACUUGAUGAUCCUGAUACGAAGAUCCUCUGACCUGGCUCUUGCAAGUUUGGACUAUAUAUUAUUAUCCGAUAAUAAGUUAUAAUAAUGGAUAUGCUAUAUCAAUUUAAAAUGUGACAGAAUAUUUUUAUUCUCAUAUGUUUAUCUGGAAGUAGCACAGUUUUGCAAUAGUGGCACAACGUGCGAGCGGGCGGCACGAGCGCGGGUGCGAGCCAGCGCGGACACGAGCUCGCGCGGGGCNUUUUUUUUUUUUUUUGUAAACUUAUAAUUUGGCCCCCCAAGGCCAUCUCUGGCUCCUUCUCCAUCCUUUGCCUUCUCCCUGCCCCCUACCUCAUCGGCUUCUACGUUACCUAGCGCCACCUCCACCGCUGGCAGAGGUCCUUUACAAGCUUAUUGAGGAUUGUGCUCGGCUUAAAGGAGAUGUCUCAGAGAUUGUUCUUGAUCUCUGCCAGAAGAUCUCAAACGGUUUCUUGGGUAUAAUGUUUGGGGUAGUCCAAUUGCAAUUUUGGCUGAUGGACAAAUCUGAAUCUUAUAAAAUUCAUAGAAUUUACUUUAUUUGUAUGCUUUUACUUACGCUUUUGAUUUUACGUAUGGUUUUGCUA